AUAAGCAAAAUAAGGGCGUAUGGGGAAUGCCUAGGCUCUCAGAGGCGAAGAAGGACGUGAUAAGCUGCGAAAAGCUACGGGGAUUGGCACACACGAAUUGAUCCGUAGAUAUCCGAAUGGGGCAACCCAGUAUGUUGAAGACAUACUAUCCUGUAUAGGAGGCGAACCCGCUGAACUGAAACAUCUAAGUAGGCGGAGGAGAAGAAAACAAAAGUGAUUCCGUAAGUAGUGGCGAGCGAACGCGGAAAAGCCCAAACCAAAGUUGUUACGGCAAUUUUGGGGUUGUAGGACCACGACAUUUCUUGCGGAUUUAAUUAGAAUUACCUGGAAAGGUAAACCGAAGAGGGUGAUAGUCCCGUAUAAGUAAGAGAAGA
rnacentral:rRNA from 1 species